AUUCCAGCUCCAAUAGCGUAUAUUAAAGUUGUUGUGGUUAAAAAGCUCGUAGUUGGAUCUCAACAGCCUUGAAGCGGUUAACUUUGUAGUUUUACUGCUUUAUAGGCUGUGCUUUUGCUGGAGGUUUAGGGGUGCUCUUGAUCGAGUGUCUCUGGAUGCCAGCAGGUUUACUUUGAAAAAAUUAGAGUGCUCAAAGCAGGCUAAAAUGCCUGAAUAUUCGUGCAUGGAAUAAUAGAAUAGGAUGUCGAUCCUAUUUUGUUGGUUUUCGGGACUCGACGUAAUGAUAAAUAGGGACAGUCGGGGGCAUUUGUAUUCAAACGACAGAGGUGAAAUUCUUGGAUUUCUGAAAGACGAGCUACUGCGAAAGCAUUUACCAAGGAUGUUUUCAUUG
rnacentral:rRNA from 1 species